rnacentral:piRNA from 1 species
UGCCACAAUGUCUAAAAUGUAUUAUAAUG